AAAAUCAGAUGCUGGUCCAUCUAAAAUCAGACUUGAUAAGGCAAAGAAUUCAUCACCAGUUGUUCAUGCAAAAGAGCCUGCUGUUUCUGCACCUAAGAAAUUGAAGCAUUCUGCUGUUUUUAAUGCUAAUCAUCACACUCAGAGCGACGUGAUUAUGCUUGACAAGGAGAACUAUUAUGCUCCUAAUUCAAUUUCUCCAUUUCCUAAGCCAGGCAUGACCAGAUUUUUUUUCUAAGCAGGCUGCUUCUGAUAAAGAUAAUGCAUCACCUCCAUUAUCUCAAAGGACUCCAAUUGUGAUGCAAACUAUAGGCUGCACUCCUCACAGUACACAAAGGAAAUCUUCUGCCGUGUCUCAGUGUCUUAGGAAUUCCAGCUCAAGAUUUAAUUCUCGAUUGACUGAAAAUCACAGUGAUUCUCCUGAAGUUAAGAUUGUUGGUGAAAGAUCUCUAGAUGAUAGUGUUUGAGCUAUGAGUAAAAAAUCUGAUAUCAUGUACAACUCAAAACUUCAGAAAUCUGCUUUCAAGGGUUCUGCCCCUCAGGCUUUGUGCCCAGCCCCCUCUGCCCGCUCUGAUGUAAAUGAUUCGCAAUCAUUUUCUUUUGGAGCUUGGGAUUCUACAACUGGUGGUAAACUUCCUGUCCAUGGCCCUAGACGUGUUGUUAAACCUGGACCUUUGUUCAAAGGUGGCUGUGUUACUGGUUCCAAUACCAAUAAGUUUCAUUUUUCUAAAUCUGAGAUUGAUAAUUACAAUAGUAUUGUCAAGUUGGCUUUAUCUGAAUUUCAAGGCGAGGAUGCCGUCAAUCUUUCAGGAGUCCGUUGCACCUUUUGGGCAUUAGGAGACUCUCUUAAACCGGGUGGAGUUGUGAAGUCUUUUGUGGUUUCUAUUUUUGCCUAUAGUCUGUUCUCAAAACCCAGUGGUCAUCCUGUUAAUUCAAGACGACAUUAUUUUUUCUCAAAUAUUUAUGUAAGAUUCUCCCUCUCCUAGCUAAAUUUCCUGUUUGUUUUUGGUUAUCUAAUGGCUUAUUUUUGUUCUCAGUACCUUUUGCUCCUAUCACUAUCAUUUAAAUAUAUUUCCCAUUUUCUAGGAUCAAUUGCUCAAGGAUGUAAAUGAAGCUGAUCAAGAUGUGUUGGCUCGAGCUUUUAGAAGAUCAUCAAAGGCUCGUCCUCUAAAUCAAUCCAAUAUGUUGUUUUAUCCUACUUUCU